GUUCGUAACAAGGUUUCCGUAGGUGAACCUGCGGAAGGAUCAUUG
rnacentral:rRNA from 1 species